rnacentral:rRNA from 1 species
AGGGAAUCUUCCACAAUGGACGCAAGUCUGAUGGAGCAACGCCGCGUGAGUGAAGAAGGCUUUCGGGUCGUAAAACUCUGUUAUUGAAGAAGAACGUGUGUGACAGUAACUGGUCAUGCAGUGACGGUAUUCAAUCAGAAAGUCACGGCUAACUACGUGCCAGCAGCCGCGGUAAUACGUAGGUGGCAAGCGUUGUCCGGAUUUAUUGGGCGUAAAGCGAGUGCAGGCGGUCUUUUAAG